GAUCAUGGCUCCAGGACGAACGCUGGCGGCGCGCCUAACACAUGCAAGUCGAACGAGAGAUGAAGAGCUUGCUCUUCAAAUCGAGUGGCGAACGGGUGAGUAACGCGUGAGGAACCUGCCUCAAAGAGGGGGACAACAGUUGGAAACGACUGCUAAUACCGCAUAAGCCCACGGCUCGGCAUCGAGCAGAGGGAAAAGGAGCAAUCCGCUUUGAGAUGGCCUCGCGUCCGA
rnacentral:rRNA from 1 species